rnacentral:rRNA from 1 species
UACGUAGGGAGCGAGCGUUGUCCGGAUUCAUUGGGCGUAAAGAGCUCGUAGGCGGCUUGAUUAGUCGGAUGUGAAACCUCCAGGCUCAACCUGGAGUCGCCAUCCGAUACUGUCAUGGCUAGAGUCCGGUAGGGGCCCACGGAAUUCCUGGUGUAGCGGUGAAAUGCGCAGAUAUCAGGAGGAACACCGGUGGCGAAGGCGGUGGGCUGGGCCGGCACUGACACUGAGGCACGAAAGCGUGGGGAGCAAACAGG